rnacentral:rRNA from 1 species
AUACGUAGGGGGCGAGCGUUGUCCGGAAUGAUUGGGCGUAAAGGGCGCGUAGGCGGCCCGGUAAGUCUGGAGUGAAAGUCCUGUUUUUAAGAUGGGAAUUGCCUUGGAUACUGUCGGGCUUGAGUGCAGGAGAGGUAAGUGGAAUUCCCAGUGUAGCGGUGAAAUGCGUAGAGAUUGGGAGGAACACCAGUGGCGAAGGCGACUUACUGGACUGUAACUGACGCUGAGGCGCGAAAGUGUGGGGAGCAAACAGGAUUAGAUACCCUGGUAGUCCACACUGUAAACGAUGAAUGCUAGGUGUAGGGGGUAUCGACCCCUUCUGUGCCGCAGUCAACACAAUAAGCAUUCCGCCUGGGGAGUACGGCCGCAAGGUUGAAACUCAAAGGAAUUGACGGGG